UACGAAGGGGGCUAGCGUUGCUCGGAAUGACUGGGCGUAAAGGGCGCGUAGGCGGUUUGGACAGUCAGAUGUGAAAUUCCUGGGCUCAACCUGGGGGGCUGCAUUUGAUACGUUCGGACUAGAGUGGGGGAAGAGGGUCGUGGAAUUCCCAGUGUAGAGGUGAAAUUCGUAGAUAUCGGGAGGAACACCAGUGGCGAAGGCGGCGACCUGGACGGACACUGACGCUGAGACGCGAAAGCGUGGGGAGCAAACAGG
rnacentral:rRNA from 1 species